GAACGCGAAAGUUCCCUUCGGGGAGCGAGUAGAGUGGCGCACGGGUGAGUAACACGUAGGUAAUCUACCUUCGGAUGGGGAAUAACAACCGGAAACGGUUGCUAAUACCGCAUAAUGCAGCGGCACCUAAUGGUGACAGUUGUUAAAGCGGGGGAUCGAAAGACCUCGCGUCUGAAGAGGAGCCUGCGGCAGAUUAGCUAGUUGGUAAGGUAAUGGCUUACCAAGGCGAUGAUCUGUAGCCGGCCUGAGAGGGCGGUCGGCCACACUGACACUGACAUACGGGUCAGACUCCUACGGGAGGCAGCAGUCGGGAAUUUUGGGCAAUGGGCGAAAGCCUGACCCAGCUACGCCGCGUGAAGGAUGAAAUCCUUCGGGAUGUAAACUUCGCAAGAACAGGAAGAAUAAGCCGGUGUUAAUAUCGCCGGUGAUGACGGUACUGUUUGUAAGCUCCGGCUAACUCCGUGCCAGCAGCCGCGGUAAUACGGGGGGAGCAAGCGUUGUUCGGAUUUACUGGGCGUAAAGGGCGCGUAGGCGGCCACCGCAAGUCAGUUGUGAAAUCUCUGGGCUUAACCCAGAAAGGUCAACUGAUACUGCGGGGCUAGAGUGCAGAAGGGGCAACUGGAAUUCUCGGUGUAGCGGUGAAAUGCGUAGAUAUCGAGAGGAACACCUGCGGCGAAGGCGGGUUGCUGGGCUGACACUGACGCUGAGGCGCGAAAGCUAGGGGAGCGAACGGGAUUAGAUACCCCGGUAGUCCUAGCCUUAAACGAUGAAUGCUUGGUGUCUGGGGUUUUAUAGUCCCCGGGUGCCGUCGCUAACGCUUUAAGCAUU
rnacentral:rRNA from 1 species